rnacentral:lncRNA from 1 species
AAUAUCGUGGAAGACCGUCCCUGUGCCAUCCAAUUUCUCGUCGGAAAAGCUUCGCCGGCGUCGGAGGUAAGCCUCCUCCCCUUCCUCUCUCUUCUCCCUUCCUUCCCGUGCCGAGUGCACGCUCGCCGGCGACCAGAGUCGCCGGAUUUUGUUGCGGAAGAAUCUUCCUUUUUAUCAUUUUUCCAUCGUCGGUGGUCACCACCGACCACCUGUUUGGCCGCCUCUUGCCGUC